rnacentral:rRNA from 1 species
AGGCUUAACACAUGCAAGUCGAGCGCCCCGCAAGGGGAGCGGCAGACGGGUGAGUAACGCGUGGGAACGUACCCUUUACUACGGAAUAACGCAGGGAAACUUGUGCUAAUACCGUAUGUGCCCUUCGGGGGAAAGAUUUAUCGGUAAAGGAUCGGCCCGCGUUGGAUUAGCUAGUUGGUGGGGUAAAGGCCUACCAAGGCGACGAUCCAUAGCUGGUCUGAGAGGAUGAUCAGCCACAUUGGGACUGAGACACGGCCCAAACUCCUACGGGAGGCAGCAGUGGGGAAUAUUGGACAAUGGGCGCAAGCCUGAUCCAGCCAUGCCGCGUGAGUGAUGAAGGCCCUAGGGUUGUAAAGCUCUUUCACCGGAGAAGAUAAUGACGGUAUCCGGAGAAGAAGCCCCGGCUAACUUCGUGCCAACAGCCGCGGUAAUACGAAGGGGGCUAGCGUUGUUCGGAAUUACUGGGCGUAAAGCGCACGUAGGCGGAUCGAUCA